CGAAAUGCGAUACCUAGUGUGAAUUGCAGAAUUCCGUGAAUCAUCGAGUUUUUGAACGCAAGUUGCGCCCGAGGCUCGUCUGAGGGCAUGCCUGCCUGAGCGUCCGC
rnacentral:rRNA from 1 species